CAGUAGCCGCGGUAAUACGAAGGGGGCUAGCGUUGCUCGGAAUGACUGGGCGUAAAGGGCGCGUAGGCGGCUGUUACAGUCAGACGUGAAAUUCCUGGGCUCAACCUGGGGGCUGCGUUUGAUACGUGAUGGCUUGAGUUCGGAAGAGGGUCGUGGAAUUCCCAGCGUAGAGGUGAAAUUCGUAGAUAUUGGGAAGAACACCGGUGGCGAAGGCGGCGACCUGGUCCGAUACUGACGCUGAGGCGCGAAAGCGUGGGGAGCAAACAGGAUUAGAUACCCCCGUAGUCCCUGUCUCUUAUAC
rnacentral:rRNA from 1 species